GCCCAUGCCUUCCUCCAGGAGUAUACAACUUUUUCCUUGUAUCCAACCUAAAUCUACCCUCUUUGAGCUUGAAACCAUUUCUCCUUGUGCUAUCACCACAGACCCUGCUGAAGAGUCUGUCCUCUUCUUUCCUGUAGAUCCCUUUAGAUAUUGAAAGGCUGCUCUCAGGUCACCUCAGAACUUCUUCCUCUCCAGGCUGCGCAGCCCCAGCUCUCAUUCUAUCCUAACAGGGAGAUGUUCCAUCCUUUGGAUCAUUUUUGUGGCCCUCCCCUGGACAUUCUCCAACAGAUCCACGUCUCUAUACAUCUUCAGCUGGCAUUUUCUUCACACUGGAAGAAAUUUUUACCAAAUAGAUGCAGCAGAUAGAUGCACCAGCUUCAGAGCAUGCUGCAGUGAUAAGGCUGAACUCAAGCAUCUGCGUUCAGAGGGAUUCAAUGAGGUGAUGUCCCAGCAGGUGCAAGAUCCUCGGAAAUGUGAUAAGCAUGAAGCAAGGAAGGGGUGAGUUCAGACUCAGCCAAGAGGACAAAGCCAGACAUGAUUUGGCAGUGGGAAGACCAGGCUGAGUAAUGUGCACUCGUGAUUACUGCUGUCUGAGGGACAUCUCUGCGAGCUGUGAGAUUUAUGUGGACCUUCUCCCAUCAUAGACUGAAACAAAUGGCAUUUCAUCAAAAACCCAAGAGUCCUGCUGGAAUAACUCCAAAGCAGUCAUCUGUUUAGAUUCUCACCUGUAAGUCAAGUGGGAUACACAGAGAGUGGAGUUUAGCAGAGGAUUGGAUCACACAAGUACUGACUUAGUGGGUCAUUUAUGAUGGGAUGAAAUGAAAAGCUGCAUGUAAUCCAAACCAGAAAUCACAUUGCAUGCAGUGCUCUGUAAGAACUUUCUCCAACACAGCAGGCAGAAGCUACAUUUCUAUCAGAUGCUCAUAAUUAUUAGCCAGGAGCAAGCAAAAUGUAAAGAGAUAUUAUGGCUUCUAGCUAUGUCAUGCUAGAGAGCUUAGAGUUAGGUAGCUGAUAAGGAACAGCUACUGAUUAAGCAUCCCAGCAACGUAAAUCUGCAAGUGUUGGACUAGGCAGAUUCUUGGCAGCAGCGACCGACUCAGUCUGGGACUCCUGCUGCCACUACUUUCCUUCCUUUGUAACAUGAAAUUCUCAUGUGGAUUCAGGUAAAAGGUAAUGAUUGGGUUCCAUCACUUAUCAGAAGGCAGGGAAGGAUGUACAGACGUGGGUGUUGAUAUGGCACUGUUCUAAAGCAUUGCCCAGGUCCUGCCCACACCUCUCUGUUUCCGAGGCCUUUUAUGUCAUCUGCUGGAAAAGUGCAAAAUGCUCUAUCGCUGUUUUCACUUAUGAAGUUUCUUGGCUAGAAAACCAGCUUAGAAUCUCCUUUUGCCAUCAUUUUUAUCUGAAAUAAGUAGCAGAAAAUACACUUGUCACCCAGGACGUCAAACGAUCAAGGUACUGCAGUCCUGAGCUGAGUUGUUCUGUGAGUUCUUGGACAACGAAGU
rnacentral:lncRNA from 1 species